UACGAAGGGGGCUAGCGUUGUUCGGAAUUACUGGGCGUAAAGCGGGUGUAGGCGGAUCUUUAAGUCGGAGGUGAAAGCACAGGGCUCAACCCUGGAACUGCCUUCGAUACUGGAGAUCUGGAGUGUGGGAGAGGUGAGUGGAAUUCCGAGUGGAGAGGUGAAAUUCGUAGAUAUUCGGAGGAACACCAGAGGCGAAGGCGGCUCACUGGCCCACUACUGACGCUGAGACCCGAAAGCGUGGGGAGCAAACAGG
rnacentral:rRNA from 1 species